AUUGAACGCUGGCGGCAUGCUUUACACAUGCAAGUCGAACGGUAACAGGCCGCAAGGUGCUGACGAGUGGCGAACGGGGGAGUAAUGCAUCGGAACGUGCCCAGUCGUGGGGGAUAACGCAGCGAAAGUUGGGCUAAUACCGCAUACGAUCCAUGGAUGAAAGCGGGGGACCGUAAGGCCUCGCCCGAAUGGAUCGGCCGAUGUCAGAUUAGGUAGUUGGUGGGGUAAAGGCUCACCAAGCCGACGAUCUGUAGCUGGUCUGAGAGGACGACCAGCCACACUGGGACUGAGACACGGCCCAGACUCCUACGGGAGGCAGCAGUGGGGAAUUUUGGACAAUGGGCGCAAGCCUGAUCCAGCAAUGCCGCGUGCAGGAAGAAGGCCUUCGGGUUGUAAACUGCUUUUGUACGGAACGAAACGGUCCUGGUUAAUACCCGGGGCUAAUGACGGUACCGUAAGAAUAAGCACCGGCUAACUACGUGCCAGCCGCCGCGGUAA
rnacentral:rRNA from 1 species